CGUACCGUUACUUUCGAAGACCCUUCUCCUAAAAACUUGCGGAACGCUCUCUCAGAUUUUUUCAACGUGAUACAUAUUUCGCAGUGAUACUUUCCUGAACAAUGCUACGAAACCAACGAAUCAUACGCCACCGCGCAUAUCAGGAACCUGUGGAGAUGGAGGAACUUUGCGCACGCAUCAUGUUUCACGGAUGUAUUUGUGGGUGAAUGAAGGGAAGGGUUGGAAAAUAUGUAAAUAAUGCUGCAUCGCAGCUUCGUCACCUAGCGCCCCUGGUAUGUAACACGUGAAAAUCAUGACAUUAAUUUUAUAACCAUGAAACGAGCGCUGUAAGAAAGUAACGUCAACUUGUUGUUUUCAAUUAUCGUUAUAAUCAUUGUUUUUUUAUAAUACAAAUAUUAUCUUUUAUUAAAAAAAAAAAAAUAAUAAAUGUAACAGAUUAUACGUAUGAUUCGCGUAACAGAUACAACGUAAUGUACUCUUGCAUUUUCAUAAAUUGGUACUGUAUGUCAUAAAGAUUUCGCACAAACAAUGUGAAUGCGCCUGAAAAAAUCAAAAUUUUACAAGAAAAGAAAGAAAAGAACGUAGUGCUUUUAUAAAAAAUUCAACAUUAUUUUGUUUUUGUUAUUACUUUGCGCCUAUUUUUCAAAUAAUUCGACAGCUUUAUAGAACUUCGGAUGUAUUCAAUUUACAUUAUAAUGAAAAACCGGGGUAUUACUACACUGAUCGAUUGUGAUAUUCAUCCGUGAAAAUGAGUAGUGUAUGAAUUUAUGAUUAUCCAUAAAUAUGAAUUUACAGGCAAAUGUAAAUAUGAGAAUAAAUUAGAGAAUGGGCUUUAAUAACUGUUGUGUAUGUACGAAUCGUAUAAAAAUGAUGUCGCUGUUGUAUGAUGCAUAUAUAAAUGACAUUCUAUUAAUUCGAAAAAACGUAUCAAACUCAAAUAGGGGAUUUGUGUAAAUACGAUGCAUACUUAUUGGAUUAAAAAUGUAUCUUUUUAUUUCAUAAUAAUUAUUCUAUGCCUAUUCUACAUUAUAUGUGAUAUCAAUUGCGAAAUGAUUAAAGUGAUAUAUAUUGAAAA